AGAUGAGGAAAACCCCUAACCAGUUGGCCAGGGAGCCUGUCAGCCAGUGGGUCAGUCAGUCUGCUCCACAGAGGGGCCUGCCAAUCAUCUACUGGCUCUUCUUAUGCUGUUCUGCAGGAGUCUUUCCAUUGCACAAGCACCAUGAUGUACCUUCUGGGGUUAAACCAAUACAUGUCAGAAGGUCAGCACCAUUUUAAGUAGAUUUCUUCAGUACACUGACUAGAGAAUGGUCCUACAGCUCUUAAGUUGGUGUUUGGGUGUGUCGUUCUCUUAUACCCCCACAACCUGCCUGGGAAACAAGGAAAAGCACAACUAAUAAAUGUAUGAUGGCCAGUCCCCCUCAGCAACACCCGUUCACAACCUGCAGCCCCAACAGUAGAAAAUAUUUAAAAUGUUCAAUUAUCACAAUAAAAUAUC